UCCCUGUGAAAGGAGCCUGGGUCCCUGAACGAUUGCUGGACUGAGUCCUUUCUCUCAUGCCCUCUGACAACAGGACAUGGAAGACAGGCUCUGUGUGGACUCGGUCAGUGGAAAAGGGACUGGGUUUCUAGAACAGUUCGUCUGUGAGUCCUGCAAGUCUCCCUGCAGCUCAAGGCCUCCUAAAUGAGCAGGAACGCAACACUAUGGAUCUUGCACAUUCCAUCUGCCCACCAGGAUGCAGUCUGGGAGCGGGAGCAGUGAUGCUUUAAGAACUGGACUUCUCGGCGUUCCCUGGGAGAGGGAGCAUUGACUUGGUCUGUCCGCUGCUGGAGAGGAGAACUGUGAGGUCAGGUCCUGGGUGCCACUUGCUCAACAUUCUACCUCUGGGACCUGUGUUUGAAUAACAUCUUCUCACAGUGAAAUGAAACCUCCGUGCUCCCUCCCGCUCCCCGCACCCCAUGCAGCUCAGCCAUGUGGAAACAGCAGUAAACAAAGUCACCAGCGUGUCUCAAACCCAAAGGCAGGACAGUGAGUUGGCAGCAGCCUGAAGGGGAGAGAAGAAACCCAACCUCUUCAGAUCUUAGGAUUUAGCUUCUUAUCUGCUGGAUCCUGGGGCAGGAUGGAGAAAGAGCCAGAAUGUCCGACGGCACCAACCACAUCCUGGACCAUACUGCAGACACCACUGGGCCAACCAGUCGCUGCUCAGAGAGUGCUGUGCCCUCCUCCCCCCCUGGCACGCAGCCUGGCCACAUGCCUGGAGCUUCCAGUUCUUCCUGAACACACAGAAGCACCCCUGUGGUUAUGGGAUCUGGCAACUGCACGGUCAGUUGACCUUCAUUUCGACCUGUUGGAGCCAGGCUGCAGCCAGGAAUACUGCUAAUUGACUGCUUUUCAAUCCAACGGCUCAUAUGAGAUGGACCAAGAGCACUUAGCUGUUAUAAACCAGCGUUGAGUUUGGCUUCUUUUCACCUCCAGCCACCGAGCAGCUAUCAGGCGCCACUGACUUCAAGUCAAUUGCUGGGCCUCAAAUUUAUUGGAUUUGCCUUUUUUGAUGCGGCAAGCUGCCAUGUCAGAAAAACCCACAUGGUGAGGACCUGUGGCCAGCAGCCUAUGGACAGCUGAGUCUGGCCAUCAGCCACUGAUUGGGCGUGCAGGCAGGCCCUUCCCCAUUUGAGUAUUCAGGGAUUCUGGGUCCGCAGCGUGAUUGGGGCCGCGCGUGAGCGAGCGGAGCGCAGCCCGCACCCCGGCUGGUGGCCGGCCCCGCCCACGUGGGGCCGCGGCCGGUCGAAUGACUCCGUGCAACGUGUUGGCGGCGGCGCGGGCUCUUCCGGGCGCCGCAGU